rnacentral:rRNA from 1 species
CGGAUCGGAGUCUGCAACCCGACUCCGUGAAGCUGGAUUCGCUAGUAAUCGCGCAUCAGCCAUGGCGCGGUGAAUACGUUCCCGGGCCUUGUACACACCGCCCGUCAAGCCAUGGGAGCCGGGGGGCGCCUGAAGUCCGGGACCGCGAGGACCGGCCUAGGGCGAAACUGGUAACUGGGGCUAAGUCGUAACAAGGUAUC